GUAAAUACUAGGAUUGAGAAAAGUAGGUUUUGUAGCAUUUAGUAAGAGACUCAUCAUUUGCUGGGAGAUGGGAUUUGCGAAAAAAUUGAAAAUCACUCAUGAGUAGUCCACUGAAGAUAUGUUUAUUGUGUAAGUGUGGCCGGCAGCAACCGUUAUAUUGCCAGAUAUUAAAGGGAUUUUCCCGUAGAUAUUUUGAGGGGUUACUUUUUAAGUAGCAAAUAGAGUGGUACCGCAGAUUUCAGACUUUGUCUCUAAA
rnacentral:ncRNA from 1 species